rnacentral:tRNA from 1 species
GGCAAGGUAGCUCAAUGGCAGAGCAGCGGUAUCAUAAACCGCCGGUUGUGGGUUCGAUUCCCACCCUUGCUA